AAAAAAGUAAAAUGUAUAUUAUUAUUUAAUCUAAUGAAACAAAGUGGAAAAAAGACAACAUUCAACCAAAAAUUUGCACAAAUCUGCUGACAAAUUCAGGCGCUUUGCUGGCAUCAUGUGAUCUAUGUCAUUAUGCUAAGACAGUGCAUGAUACGCUGUAAGAACUCGAAAUAUAAUGAAAGGACAUUGGAAUGAACUAAUUCCCUGCCAAUGCCGUCUAAAGACGUCAAUGGCUUUUUUUUUAGCAGGGAUGAGUAGGGCAGGGUCUUGUGCAGUUUGUGUGUGAUCAUCAAGCCUCUGGAUAACUGUAAUGAGGAAUGGCACCCUAUACAGAGCAACAAUGCCUUGAGGUGAACGUCCCUCCCUCAGAUUGAAGAAGAGGAAGAAGGAGGAGGCAGGGAGGAGGAGACAAUAAGAGGAAAACAUAAUGCCGGAAAAGAAAGAAGAUAAAAUGAAAAAGAAAAUCUAAAAAAAAAAAAAAAAAAGAUCUCUUUCGGUACUAGAAAUCUAUUGCGCCAAGGCAAGAAAAAUGUUCCUGCGACCAACAAAAAUGACGCCUUAGAUCAUGGAAGGGAAUAAAGGAUGACACUCCGAGCCAUCACUUUGUUGCAAAGCUAUCGCCGGAAAUGUCGGGCCAUAUGGAGAGAUGCUCUCGGCCGCUUGCCAGCUGAUCGUCUGCCGACCAGAAUUUGAGUAAAUGGGAUCCGGAAUCGUGACGAGUGAACUCGCUCUGGAUCGCCUGGACGCAGCAGAGCCUCAUUCGGAGCUUUCUCCGGAUGAUAAUGGAGACAAAGCUCAUGCAUCUUGGAGUAAUGCAACACCUGCGAGUCGAACGUCUAUUAGGAUUGCGACGAACUUAUGUCUGGAUCCAGCAGACCUUCGACUCCCAUUCUAAUAUUCAGAGCAAGUAAAAAAGGUUGUGCUUCGAGCAGAAGUAGAGACUGGUUCCAAGGACAAUGACUACCACACAAGAUCCCAUUCACCGCCACCAAAGAAUAAAAUCCAGAUGUGGAUAAAACUGCCAGAUUUUAUGCGCAAGUUAAAAACCUGGACUAUUGACGGUAGAGGAGGAGAAUUAGGAGGAAGAAAGUGCAAGUGUGGGAGCCCCAUUUGUUCAUGCAAUUUUUGGUUUAUGUAAAUUCUGUACAGUUAUACUUGUAAAUAGAUAAUUUUUCUGUCAAAAGUACUUUCUCACUGUUGUUUUAUGUUCAGAUGUUUCAGAUUUUCACUAAAGGUCAAAAUAUG